GAUGAACGCUAGCUACAGGCUUAACACAUGCAAGUCGAGGGGAAACGACAUCGAAAGCUUGCUUUUGACGGGCGUCGACCGGCGCACGGGUGAGUAACGCGUAUCCAACCUGCCCACCACUUGGGGAUAACCUUGCGAAAGUAAGACUAAUACCCAAUGAUAUCUCUAGAAGACAUCUGAAAGGGAUUAAAGAUUUAUCGGGGAUGGAUGGGGAUGCGUCUGAUUAGCUUGUUGGCGGGGUAACGGCCCACCAAGGCGACGAUCAGUAGGGGUUCUGAGAGGAAGGUCCCCCACAUUGGAACUGAGACACGGUCCAAACUCCUACGGGAGGCAGCAGUGAGGAAUAUUGGUCAAUGGGCGAGAGCCUGAACCAGCCAAGUAGCGUGCAGGAUGACGGCCCUAUAGGUUGUAAACUGCUUUUAUAAGGGAAUAAAGUGGGAGUCGUGACUCUUUUUGCAUGUACCUUAUGAAUAAGGACCAGCUAAUUCCGUGCCAGCCGCCGCCGUAA
rnacentral:rRNA from 1 species